UCGGGCGGACAUGAAGUGGCGAACGGGUGAGUAACACGUGACCAACCUGCCCCUUGCUCCGGGACAACCUUGGGAAACCGAGGCUAAUACCGGAUACUCCUCGCCCCCCUCCCUGGGGGGGCCCGGGGAAAGCCCAGACGGCAAGGGAUGGGGUCGCGGCCCAUUAGGUAGUAGGCGGGGUAACGGCCCACCUAGCCCGCGAUGGGUAGCCGGGUUGAGAGACCGACCGGCCACAUUGGGACUGAGAUACGGCCCAGACUCCUACGGGAGGCAGCAUG
rnacentral:rRNA from 1 species